UCCAGCCCUGCCUGCGCCCAACAGAGACUUGACACCCAGAACUCUUCCAAGAUGCUGAGGGCCGCGGUCACAGGAUUGGCUCGUCUCCCUGUUCAUGAAGACACCAUCACUGGGAGCAGGCCCUCUGGUUGAGGCAGAAAGGACAUCCUCAGCCCCUAAUGCUAGUCCAUAGGAGUUGCUUCAUUCCGAGUCAGUUGUGGAAGGUGAGGUUGCAAUUUGGGAUAAGAACCAUCCAAGAGAGUGCAACCGCUUGCCUGAAUCUCUCUUCUCUAGGUCAAGUGGACAGGGCACGGACGAUAAACAACCAGAGACUUUCCCACCUGCCCAUCCAUUACUAGAACAGACAGUUGUAACUGGCCUCAACAUGGUUGGUCACAAACCGGAUCUUCGAGAAACUCCCUUUCCCUGCGUAGUUCUGUGGGAGGAGAGGAAUGAAGCAGAACGGAUACAUGUAAGGUGAGUUGCACAGAGCAAACAAGCAGAGUUGAAGUAUUCAUCUCUAGUUCACGUACUGAAAUCCCUGCUUCUACUCCAGCAGGGAGCAAAAUUAAAUUUUUGCUUGUUUUGUUUUCUUUUAAAGGGACGCAAUUAAGAUUGUG
rnacentral:lncRNA from 1 species